GACGAACGCUGGCGGCGUGCUUAACACAUGCAAGUCGAGCGGAAAGGCUCCUUCGGGGGUACUCGAGCGGCGAACGGGUGAGUAACACGUGAGUAAUCUGCCCUGUGCUCUGGGAUAGCCACCGGAAACGGUGAUUAAUACCGGAUAUGACCACUCCGCGCAUGUGGUGGUGGUGGAAAGUUUUUCGGCGCAGGAUGUGCUCGCGGCCUAUCAGCUUGUUGGUGAGGUAAUGGCUCGCCAAGGCUUUGACGGGUAGCCGGCCUGAGAGGGUGACCGGUCACACUGGGACUGAGACACGGCCCAGACUCCUACGGGAGGCAGCAGUGGGGAAUAUUGGACAAUGGGCGGAAGCCUGAUCCAGCAACGCCGCGUGAGGGAUGACGGCCUUCGGGUUGUAAACCUCUUUCAGUACCGACGAAGCGUGAGUGACGGUAGGUACAGAAGAAGGACCGGCCAACUACGUGCCAGCCGCCGCGGUAAGAC
rnacentral:rRNA from 1 species